CCUGACGCAGCGACGCCGCGUGAGUGAAGAAGGUCUUCGGAUUGUAAAGCUCUGUCAUUAGGGACGAAGGCGACUGGGAGGGAAGGCCUAGCCCCGUGACGGUACCUUGCCAGAAAGCCCCGGCUAAAUACGUGCCAGCAGCCGCGGUAAUUAA
rnacentral:rRNA from 1 species